rnacentral:ncRNA from 1 species
ACUUUUUGCUCAAAAGAUCCCAUGAAAAGCAUUGGACGAUAUAGACAGUAGGACGAUGACUAUAGAAAUCGGUAAUCGCUAAGGGAGUGUGUAAUUCACUAAUUGUAAUUCACUUUAUUCGGUAAUUCACCUGUCCAACCAAUUAGCCUUCAAAACAAAUAGCACUUGAGCGGAAG